rnacentral:rRNA from 1 species
GAUGAACGCUGACAGAAUGCUUAACACAUGCAAGUCGAUGGGGAAGUGGUUCUUUCACCGUGGCAACCAUGGCGGACGGGUGAGUAACGCGUAAGGGACUUACCUGCAGGACUGGGAUAACAGGUGGAAACUCCUGACAAGACCGGAUAAUGGCAUGGAGCUUCAUGGCUUUAUGAUGAAAGGAGACGCCUGCGGAGAGCCUUGCGUCCUAUUAUCAAGUUGGUGGGGUAAUGGCUCAACACGGCGAAGAUAGGGAGGCGGCCUGAGAGGGUGGACGGCCACAGGGAGACUGAGAUACGGCACUUACUCCUGCGAGAGACAGGAGUGGAGAAUAGUGGACAAGGCGGGCGACUCUGAUCGAGAAAUUGUGUGUGGAAGAAGAAGGUUUUCGGAGUAUAAAGCGCUUGCAGCAGGGGAGAAGUGAGUGACGGUACCUGGAGAAGAAGCGACGGCUAAAUACGUG